rnacentral:rRNA from 1 species
AGUGAACGCUGGCGGUAGGCCUAACACAUGCAAGUCGAACGGCAGCACAGUAAGAGCUUGCUCUUACGGGUGGCGAGUGGCGGACGGGUGAGGAAUACAUCGGAAUCUACUUUUUCGUGGGGGAUAACGUAGGGAAACUGACGCUAAUACCGCAUACGACCUACGGGUGAAAGCAGGGGAUCUUCGGACCUUGCGCGAUUGAAUGAGCCGAUGUCGGAUUAGCUAGUUGGCGGGGUAAAGGCCCACCAAGGCGACGAUCCGUAGCUGGUCUGAGAGGAUGAUCAGCCACACUGGAACUGAGACACGGUCCAGACUCCUACGGGAGGCAGCAGUGGGGAAUAUUGGACAAUGGGCGCAAGCCUGAUCCAGCCAUACCGCGUGAGUGAAGAAGGCCUUCGGGUUGUAAAGCCCUUUUGUUGGGAAAGAAAAGCAGCAGGUUAAUACCCCGCUGUUCUGACGGUACCCAAAGAAUAAGCACCGGCUAACUUCGUG